UACGGGAGGCAGCAGUGGGGAAUAUUGCACAAUGGGCGCAAGCCUGAUGCAGCCAUGCCGCGUGUAUGAAAGAAGGCCUUCGGGUUGUAAAGUACUUUCAGUCGUGAGGAAGGUGUUAAGGUUAAUAACCUUAGCAAUUGACGUUAGCGACAGAAGAAGCACCGGCUAACUCCGUGCCAGCAGCCGCGGUAAUACGGAGGGUGCGAGCGUUAAUCGGAAUUACUGGGCGUAAAGGGCACGCAGGCGGUUAAUUAAGUUGGAUGUGAAAUCCCCGGGCUUAACCUGGGAAUGGCAUUCAAGCUGGUUAGCUAGAGUCUUGUAGAGGGGGUAGAAUUCCAUGUGUAGCGGUGAAAUGCGUAGAGAUGUGGAGGAAUACCGGUGGCGAAGGCGGCCCCUGGGACAAAGACUGACGCUCAUGUGCGAAAGCGUGGGGAGCAAACAGGGAUUAGAUACC
rnacentral:rRNA from 1 species